rnacentral:rRNA from 1 species
GACGUAGGGCGCGAGCGUUGUCCGGAUUUAUUGGGCGUAAAGAGCUCGUAGGCGGCUUGUCGCGUCGACUGUGAAAUCCCGCGGCUCAACUGCGGGUCUGCAGUCGAUACGGGCAGGCUAGAGUUCGGUAGGGGAGACUGGAAUUCCUGGUGUAGCGGUGAAAUGCGCAGAUAUCUGGAGGAACAUCGGUGGCGAAGGCGGCAUCCUGGACCGGUAUUGACGCUGAGGCGCGAAAGCCAGGGGAGCAAACGGG